rnacentral:rRNA from 1 species
GAUGAACGCUAGCUACAGGCUUAACACAUGCAAGUCGAGGGGCAGCAUGGUCUUAGCUUGCUAAGGCCGAUGGCGACCGGCGCACGGGUGAGUAACACGUAUCCAACCUGCCGUCUACUCUUGGACAGCCUUGUGAAAGUAAGACUAAUACCCAAUGACGUCUCUAGAAGACAUCUGAAAGAGAUUAAAGAUUUAUCGGUGAUGGAUGGGGAUGCGUCUGAUUAGCUUGUUGGCGGGGUAACGGCCCACCAAGGCGACGAUCAGUAGGGGUUCUGAGAGGAAGGUCCCCCACAUUGGAACUGAGACACGGUCCAAACUCCUACGGGAGGCAGCAGUGAGGAAUAUUGGUCAAUGGACGAGAGUCUGAACCAGCCAAGUAGCGUGCAGGAUGACGGCCCUAUGGGUUGUAAACUGCUUUAUAAGGGAAUAAAGUGGGAGUCGUGACUCUUUUUGCAUGUACCUUAUGAAUAAGGACCGGCUAAUUCCGUGCCAG